rnacentral:rRNA from 1 species
UACGAAGGGGGCUAGCGUUGCUCGGAAUGACUGGGCGUAAAGGGCGCGUAGGCGGUUUGGACAGUCAGAUGUGAAAUUCCUGGGCUCAACCUGGGGGCUGCAUUUGAUACGUUCGGACUAGAGUGGGGAAGAGGGUCGUGGAAUUCCCAGUGUAGAGGUGAAAUUCGUAGAUAUUGGGAAGAACACCGGAGGCGAAGGCGGCCACCUGGUCAACAACUGACGCUGAGGAACGAAAGCAUGGGGAGCAAACAGG